rnacentral:rRNA from 1 species
UACGGGGGGGGCAAGCGUUGUUCGGAAUUACUGGGCGUAAAGGGCUCGUAGGCGGCCAACUAAGUCGGACGUGAAAUCCCCAGGCUCAACCUGGGAACUGCGUCUGAUACUGGAUGGCUUGAAUCCGGGAGAGGGAUGCAGAAUUCCAGGUGUAGCGGUGAAAUGCGUAGAUAUCUGGAGGAAUACCGGUGGCGAAGGCGGCAUCCUGGACCGACAUUGACGCUGAACGGCGAAAGCUAGGGGAGCAAACGGG